rnacentral:rRNA from 1 species
CACAGGUGCUGCAUGGCUGUCGUCAGCUCGUGUCGUGAGAUGUUGGGUUAAGUCCCGCAACGAGCGCAACCCUUAUUGUUAGUUGCCAUCAUUAAGUUGGGCACCCUAACGAGACUGCCGGUGACAAACCGGAGGAAGUGGGAUGACGUCAAUCAUCAUGCCCUUUAUGUCCUGGGCUACACACGUGCUACAAUGGCCAGAACAGAGGGUUGCUAAGGGGCAACCUGGAGCUAAUCCCUUAAAACUGGUCUCAGUUCGGAUUGCAGGCUGAAAUUCGCCUGCAUGAAGUCGGAAUCGCUAGUAAUCGCGGAUCAGCAUGCCGCGGUCGAAUACGUUCCCGGGCCUU